CCUCAGCUGCCUCUAAAGUGACUGGUCCUUCUGAGGAAGCUAAGGCCGUGUUGAGUUGUUCAUGCGGAUGUGAUUUGAAAACAGAGUUCCUUCUGGGCAGAGCUUCAUGGGAAGCUAAACUAUAAUUAGAAGAUUGUUGCUACCAUAGAAUCAAGGCAAGAAAAUGGCAACCCACUCCGGUAUUCUUGCUUGAAGAAUUCCGUGGAAGAGAAGCCCGGAGGGCUACAGUCCAUGGGGUCGCAGAGUCGACACAGCUGAGUGGCUAACGCACGCAUGCUUUCUCUGCUGAUCAAAAC